rnacentral:rRNA from 1 species
AUACGUAGGUGACAAGCGUUAUCCGGAUUUACUGGGCGUAAAGGGCGUGUAGGCGGUCUUGCAAGUCAGAAGUGAAAUUCCUGAGCUCAACUCGGGCGCUGCUUCUGAAACUGCAGGACUUGAGUGCUGGAGGGGAUAGCGGAAUUCCUAGUGGAGCGGUAAAAUGCGGAGAUAUUAGGAAGAACACCGGUGGCGAAGGCGGCUAUCUGGACAGUAACUGACGCUGAGGCGCGAAAGCGUGGGGAGCAAACAGGAUUAGAUACCCUGGUAGGCCACGCCGUAAACGAUGAAUACUAGGUGUAGGGGGUAUCGACUCCCUCUGUGCCGCAGUUAACACAAUAAGUAUUCCGCCUGGGGAGUACGGCCGCAAGGUUGAAACUCAAAUGAAUUGGCGGGG